rnacentral:misc_RNA from 1 species
AUCUAGGAAUGGAUGUCCAUGAUAGUUUUACUUCUUUCGGCAUUGAGCCAGUAAGUACCUCAUAACCAGUUUCUGUAAUUAGGACCUCAUCCUCGAUUCUUAUCCCAAUGCCUCGGAAUCUUUCUGGACCAUCAAAAAUAGAUGGAAUGUACACUCCAGGCUCAAUUGUUAUCACAACACCUGGCUUCAAAAGACGAUCACAGCUCACAGCAAAACUAUCAUGGACAUCCAUUCCUAGAU